rnacentral:rRNA from 1 species
UCCUACGGGAGGCAGCAGUCGGGAAUAUUGCGCAAUGGAGGAAACUCUGACGCAGUGACGCCGCGUAUAGGAAGAAGGUUUUCGGAUUGUAAACUAUUGUCGUUAGGGAAGAUAAAAGACUGUACCUAAGGAGGAAGCCCCGGCUAACUAUGUGCCAGCAGCCGCGGUAAUACAUAGGGGGCAAGCGUUAUCCGGAAUUAUUGGGUGUAAAGGGUGCGUAGACGGGAAUGCAAGUUGGUUGUGAAAUCCCUCGGCUUAACUGAGGAACUGCAACCAAAACUACAUUUCUUGAGUGCUGGAGAGGA